GGACGAACGCUGGCGGCGUGCUUAACACAUGCAAGUCGAGCGGUAAGGCCCUUUCGGGGGUACACGAGCGGCGAACGGGUGAGUAACACGUGGGUGACCUGCCCUCAGCUCUGGGAUAAGCCUGGGGAAACUGGGUCUAAUACUGGAUAUGACUCCACGGUGCAUGUCGUGGGGUGGAAAGCCUUGUGCGGCUGAGGAUGGG
rnacentral:rRNA from 1 species